rnacentral:lncRNA from 1 species
CCCCCCGUCAGGCUUCAGACACGGCGCCUGAAGCACGUGCAGCGUUGCCUGGGCUCGCCCGUAGGUGCCAACCUGUGUGCUUCCCUGGGGGCGUCUGAGUAUCGCCCUAAACGCCCUGUGAUUUGCUCGCGAACGCUAGGGCACCCUCUGCAGUCUCCUGCUCCUGCCCCCCUGCUCUAGCACCGUUUUAGCCGUUAGGGGAAAGCUGGGUGCUCCUCGCCGUCUGGAGCUGCUUUCCGUGCCCUGCCGCGGCGGUGUCUCGUGCUGCUCAGCCCCAAAGUUCACAGCCUCCCUGUCUGCUGGCAACCCAGAAGGAUGUACGAAGCUGCUGGAAACGAGCAGAGCCAAGAGGAUGAGAAUGGAGUUUCACUUUGGGUCUCACCUGGGAUUGCAUCCUGCAAACAGGAGGUGCUUCUCCUCUGCCUGGAAGAAGAGCGUGAGCAGAGAAGGAUGAGGAAGCGAGUGAGGAUCAGCCCUUCCCGCUGGAGCAGGUCGCGUGCUGCAUCCAUGAGCUGCCUCGCAACCUGCAAGCUGUGGGCGAAGCCGCCGUUAGUGCUCUGA